rnacentral:rRNA from 1 species
CCUACGGGUGGCAGCAGUCGAGAAUCAUUCACAAUGGGGGAAACCCUGAUGGUGCGACGCCGCGUGGGGGAAUGAAGGUCUUCGGAUUGUAAACCCCUGUCAUGUGGGAGCAAAUUAAAAAGAUAGUACCACAAGAGGAAGAGAUGGCUAACUCUGUGCCAGCAGCCGCGGUAAUACAGAGGUCUCAAGCGUUGUUCGGAAUCACUGGGCGUAAAGCGUGCGUAGGCUGUUUCGUAAGUCGUGUGUGAAAGGCGGGGGCUCAACCCGCGGACGGCACAUGAUACUGCGAGACUAGAGUAAUGGAGGGGGAACCGGAAUUCUCGGUGUAGAAGUGAAAUGCGUAGAUAUCGAGAGGAACACUCGUGGCGAAGGCGGGUUCCUGGACAUUAACUGACGCUGAGGCACGAAGGCCAGGGGAGCGAAAGGGAUUAGAUACCCGUGUAGUC